rfam:Sphingorhabdus sp. M41, complete genome.
AGGAUGGGCCUUUCAGGCAUCCUCUCCUAAAAACUUUUCAGGCCAGUUCUUCGGAACUGGCCUUUUUUUUUGGCCGA